UACGUAGGGGGCUAGCGUUGUCCGGAAUCAUUGGGCGUAAAGCGCGUGUAGGCGGCCCGGUAAGUCCGCUCUGAAAGUCGGGGGCUCAACCCUCGGAUGCGGGUGGAUACUGUCGGGCUUGAGUGCGGAAGAGGCGAGUGGAAUUCCUGGUGUAGCGGUGAAAUGCGCAGAUAGUCAGGAGGAACACCAAUUGCGAAGGCAGCUCGCUGGGACGUUACUGACGCUGAGACG
rnacentral:rRNA from 1 species